AGUGAACGCUGGCGGUAGGCCUAACACAUGCAAGUCGAACGGAAGAACAGAAAGAGCUUGCUCUUACGGGAGGCGAGUGAGGGACGGGUGGGGAAUCAAUCGGAAUCUACACAUUAGUGGGGGAUAACGUAGGGAAAAUUACGCUAAUACCGCAUACGAACUACGGGUGAAAGCAGGGGAUCUUUGGACCUUGGGAGAUUGAAUGAGCCGAUGUCGGAUUAGCUAGUUGGCGGGGUAAAGGCCCACCAAGGCGACGAUCCGUAGCUGGUCUGAGAGGAUGAUCAGCCACACUGGAACUGAGACACGGUCCAGACGCCUACGGGCGGCAGCAGUGGGGAAUAUUGGACAAGGGGCGCAAGCCUGAUCCAACCAUACCGCGUGGGUGAAGAAGGCCGUCGGGUUGUAAAGCCCUUUUGUUGGGAAAGAAAAGCAGCAGGUUAAUACCCCGCUGUUCUGACGGUACCCAAAGAAUAAGCACCGGCUAACUUCGUG
rnacentral:rRNA from 1 species